AUGAACGCUAGCGGGCGGCCUAACCCAUGCCAGCCGAGCGGUAGAGUCUCUUCGGAGACUUGAGAGCGGCGCACGGGUGCGGAACACGUGUGCAACCUGCCUUUAUCUGGGGGAUAGCCUUUCGAAGGGAAGAUUAAUACCCCAUAAUAUACUGGAUGACAUCAUCUGGUAUUGAAAACUCCGGUGGAUAGAGAUGGGCACGCGCAAGAUUAGAUAGUUGGUGAGGUAACGGCUCACCAAGUCAGCGAUCUUUAGGGGGCCUGAGAGGGUGAUCCCCCACACUGGUACUGAGACACGGACCAGACUCCUACGGGAGGCAGCAGUGAGGAAUAUUGGACAAUGGGUGAGAGCCUGAUCCAGCCAUCCCGCGUGAAGGACGACGGCCCUAUGGGUUGUAAACUUCUUUUGUAUAGGGAUAAACCUAGAUACGUGUAUCUAGCUGAAGGUACUAUACGAAUAAGCACCGGCUAACUCCGUG
rnacentral:rRNA from 1 species